GACGAACGCUGGCGGCGUGCUUAACACAUGCAAGUCGAACGGAAAGGCCCUGCUUUUGUGGGGUGCUCGAGUGGCGAACGGGUGAGUAACACGUGAGUAACCUGCCCUUGACUUUGGGAUAACUUCAGGAAACUGGGGCUAAUACCGGAUAGGAGCUCCUGCUGCAUGGUGGGGGUUGGAAAGUUUCGGCGGUUGGGGAUGGACUCGCGGCUUAUCAGCUUGUUGGUGGGGUAGCGGCCUACCAAGGCUUUGACGGGUAGCCGGCCUGAGAGGGUGACCGGCCACAUUGGGACUGAGAUACGGCCCAGACUCCUACGGGAGGCAGCAGUGGGGAAUAUUGCACAAUGGGCGGAAGCCUGAUGCAGCAACGCCGCGUGCGGGAUGACGGCCUUCGGGUUGUAAACCGCUUUCGCCUGUGACGAAGCGUGAGUGACGGUAAUGGGUAAAGAAGCACCGGCUAACUACGUG
rnacentral:rRNA from 1 species